rnacentral:sRNA from 1 species
GCCGUGAGGUGUUCGGUUAAGUCCGCAAACGAGCGCAACCCUCGGCGUUAGUUACAAGUGUCUAACGCAACUGCCCGUGAGAAACGGGAGGAAGGUGGGGAUGACGUCAAGUCAGCAUGGCCUUUAUAUCCAGGGCUACACACACGCUACAAUGGGCGGUACAACGGGUCGCGAAGCCGCGAGGUGGAGCCAAUCCAGAAAGCCGUUCGUAGUUCGGAUUGCAGGCUGCAACUCGCCUGCAUGAAGUCGGAGUUGCUAGUAACCGCAGGUCAGCUAUACUGCGGUGAAUACGUUCCCGGGCCUUGUACACACCGCCCGUCACGUCAUGGGAGCUGGUCACGCCUGAAGUCGGGGAGCUAACCUCACGGAGGCAACCGCCGAGGGCAGGGCUGGUGACUGGGACGAAGUCGUAACAAGGUAGCUGUACCGGAAGGUGCGGCUGGAUCACCUCCUUUCUAGAAAUACUGGACGCGAGACGCAAGUCUCUAUCGUCCCAACUCUCUCCAUCUCACUUCUCCGUCGUUAAUGCGUUGACACGGGGUUGGAUGUCUGAUACUAUUCAGACCAUGAAUUUAAGAACUAAGAAAGCUGUCUAUCACUUGAGCAAACUGAUGGGUGCAGUGGAAAACUAAAUAAGUUUUUUACGGUAAAACAGUCUGUUCUUUUGAAGGCAGCCCGUAUACCGGGCUGUUUUUGUCGGUGGUGGCAGCGUAACGAGGAAAAGGUGUGGUAGGUCGGCAGGUGGUCACAAGCGCGAGUUUGUGAGCGACUGCCGGUGGACGACACCGGGCGCAACUUAACAACUCAAGAGUGUAAAAAGCGUAAGUAAAGUAACGCGAGAGUAUCAAUUUCUCCGUAUCACAUGGAAAAAGCGAAUAAGAGUAUAUGGGGGAUGCCUUGGCGUCAGGUGCCGAAGAAGGACGUGGUACACUGCGAAAAGUUCCGGUGAGCCGUGUGCAGGCGUGAGAACCGGAAAUGU